AUUUAUUAUUCUCGACAAGCCAGACGCAAUAUGAACGAUUCUCGUUUUAUAAUAUUAUAACGACGCGUUGUCCGUAUAAUAAUUUCUUGAUCUAAAAUUCAAUAUUUCAUGUUCUUCGCGCAAUACUAUCAGAAAUUCGAAUUUAAGCUUCAUUUACGUGCAACAUUUAUAAAUAGAGUGAAUGUUUUUCCAAAUAAAUGGUAUCAGUAUAUUAUUAUAGACUUCGACGGUAAAUUUCAAUUAUUUUUUUCGUCGCACGGUCGCGUCCAUCGUGAAUUAUUUUUUUAUUGAGACGUUAACAACCGUGGUUAUAGAUAUAUACAAUUCGUUAUAUACAAUACAGGAUCGUGAUAAUAAUUUAUUUAGUGACAACGGUCAGCCACUCGUUAUGAUGUGCAGUCUACAUUGAGAACCGUGCAUGCGCGUCUUCAUAUUUUAUGUGUAUCUGUGUGUGUGUGUGUAAAUUUAUGUAAAUUUGGAACACAUUUAACACAUGGAGAUAGCAGCGGCUCAAAAACAUGACUUACGGGAAAAACUCUCAAGCUUUGUCAGCGGUGAAUCUUCAAUAUUUUCUGUUAAGGGUUCUGAAAAUCAUAUACUUUUUAGACGACUAUAUAUCGAUGUUUGAGGGACGUGGCUCAGACUUCUGGACUCUCUUGUAAAUCCACCACUGUAGCUUUGUAGAGUGGUCCGAUUUCGCUGGUUAUUAUUUUUUUUAUUGGAAACAGAAUGACUUCCUACAGACCGCGUCGAAUUCUUUUUUUCAAUAUUUCCUUCUCAAAUUUUAUAAUACGUUUUAAAAAAGGUCAAUUUUGAUCUUGUUUUACUUUUUUUCCUUUAUAAUUAUUUGAAAUCAAAUGAAAAAUCGGAGUUCAAUGCGAUCUGUGAACUUUUUUUGUUUAUGCACUAA